UACAGAGGUCUCAAGCGUUGUUCGGAUUCAUUGGGCGUAAAGGGUGCGUAGGUGGCGGGGUAAGUCAGGUGUGAAAUCUCGAGGCUCAACCUCGAAACUGCACUUGAUACUGCCUUGCUCGAGUACUGGAGAGGAGAUUGGAAUUUACGGUGUAGCAGUGAAAUGCGUAGAUAUCGGGAAGAACACCCGUGGCGAAGGCGGCUCUCUGGGACGGUACUGACGCUGAGACGCGAAAGCGUGGGGAGCGAACAGG
rnacentral:rRNA from 1 species